AUUGAACGCUGGCGGCAGGCUUAACACAUGCAAGUCGAGCGAGCGGCGGACGGGUGAGUAAUGUCUGGGAAACUGCCUGAUGGAGGGGUAUAACUACUGGAAACGGUAGCUACUACCGCAUAACAUCAGAUGUGCCCCGAUGGGAUUAGCUAGUAGGUGGGGUAAUGGCUCACCUAGGCGACGAUCCCUAGCUGGUCUGAGAGGGUGACCCGCCCACCGGGAACUGAGACACGGUCCAGACGCCUACGGGAGGCAGCAGUGGGGAAUAUUGCACAAUGGGCGCAAGCCUGAUGCAGCCAUGCCGCGUGUGUGAAGAAGGCCUUCGGGUUGUAAAGCACUUUCAGCGAGGAGGCGUUACUCGCAGAAGAAGCACCGGCUAACUCCGUGCCAGCAGCCGCGGUAAUAC
rnacentral:rRNA from 1 species